rnacentral:rRNA from 1 species
ACCUACGGGGGGCAGCAGUGGGGAAUAUUGCGCAAUGGGGGCAACCCUGACGCAGCAACGCCGCGUGAUUGAAGAAGGCCUUCGGGUUGUAAAGAUCUUUAAUCGGGGACGAAUUUUGACGGUACCCGAAGAAUAAGCUCCGGCUAACUACGUGCCAGCAGCCGCGGUAAUACGUAGGUGGCAAGCGUUGUCCGGAUUUACUGGGUGUAAAGGGCGUGCAGCCGGAGAGACAAGUCAGAUGUGAAAUCCACGGGCUCAACCCGUGAACUGCAUUUGAAACUGUUUCCCUUGAGUGUCGGAGAGGG